CUAGGCUUGGGGGCUGCUGGGCUGCUGCUGCACUGGGCCUGGGGGUCCGCUUGGUCUGCUGCUGCGCUGGGCCUGGCCUGCUAGCUGGCUGGCCUGCUGGGCUUGCUAAUAAGUGGGCCUGCUCUUUUUUUUUUUUCUUUUCUCUCUUUUCUUUUUUUUUUUGGUUUUUUUUUGGGCUGCUUUGGGCUUGAUUAUUGGGCUCACUGGGUCGGGUUGCGGGUCAGCUAGGUCGGGCCGAAUUCGGGUCGGGUCGGCCCGAUUUAAAUUUUUUUUUUUUUUCUUUUUUUUCCCUCUUCCUUCUUCUUCUCUCUUUCUUUCUUUCUUCUUCUUCUUCCUUCUUCUUCUUCUUCAAAACCGAGCCCCCACACCGUCGCUUCUUUCACGCCGCCGUUCGAGCUGCCACCGUCGACUCCACCGGACCUUUCUCUUUCCUUUCCUUUCUCUCCCCUUUUUUCUUAUUUUUG
rnacentral:lncRNA from 1 species